GACGAACGCUGGCGGCGUGCUUAACACAUGCAAGUCGAACGGAAAGGCCCUGCUUUUGUGGGGUGCUCGAGUGGCGAACGGGUGGGUAACACGUGAGUAACCUGCCCUUGACUUUGGGAUAACUUCAGGAAACUGGGGCUAAUACCGGAUAGGAGCUCCUGCUGCAUGGUGGGGGUUGGAAAGUUUCGGCGGUUGGGGAUGGACUCGCGGCUUAUCAGCUUGUUGGUGGGGUAGUGGCUUACCAAGGCUUUGACGGGUAGCCGGCCUGAGAGGGUGACCGGCCACAUUGGGACUGAGAUACGGCCCAGACUCCUACGGGAGGCAGAAGUGGGGAAUAUUGCACAAUGGGCGGAAGCCUGAUGCAGCAACGCCGCGUGCGGGAUGACGGCCUUCGGGUUGUAAACCGCUUUCGCCUGUGACGAAGCGUGAGUGACGGUAAUGGGUAAGGAAGCACCGGCUAACUACGUG
rnacentral:rRNA from 1 species